GAGAAAAUAACAAAGCCCUUAAGCUUUGGACAGACACCAAAGAGCCUUGUUUCAUUUUUGGGCUGUCUUCAUUUCUUUUACAGUAAAACCAGCCUGUCUUCUUGUUACUCCAUUUCAGCCACAGCUAUUUUAGAAAUAAUUGUGUCACAUAAAUCUCUUCCUGGUAUCUGCUUUUGCUGUCCUCUUUCCCCAUCACAGAACAAAGAAAAUACUUUGAUGAAUUAAAAUAUAAAAUAAGGAAACAAACCAAGGUAUUUAUUUUUCUGGUCAUCAGUUAGUAAACACUUAUAUUUUCAUUACCCAGUAAUAUACUUUAUGAUGUUACACUUUUUCCUUCUAUCUAGCUGUCAUUUAUAAGAGUCAAUUUUAGUGAUUAUAUAAAGUGAUGGAGAGCAGUCAAGCUGAAGGAUCAUCAAUAACUGUAAAUGAUUAAAAAGAGUGUUUACAGUAAGGCACUAGUUUCAUGACCUUUGUAACUGGUUACAUUUCUCCUUUGUGUCAGUGUGACUGUCUCUUGGUUGAUGGUAAUGUGCAGGGACUGCAAGGCCUGCGUGGGAUCAGUCAGGUCUGGUCAUGGCCUCAGGGUCCGGAAGGUCUGUGGAUGACAUGCUGCUGCGUACAAGAGCUUUCACAUUUAAUAGGAAAAAGGAGCUCUAGUAACUGUAACAUCUGAACUUGCAUAUCACAAGGGCUUCAGAAGGAUUCUACUAUCCAGUACAAAAUUAAAGAAUGUAGCCUGUUACUGU
rnacentral:lncRNA from 1 species